rnacentral:rRNA from 1 species
CCUACGGGCGGCAGCAGUAGGGAAUUUUGCGCAAUGGGCGAAAGCCUGACGCAGCAACGCCGCGUGAUCGAGACGCCUUUCGGGGUGUAAAGAUCUGUCAGUGGGGACGAAACUUGCAGGGACCCACAGAGGAAGCACCGGCAAACUCCGUGCCAGCAGCCGCGGUAACAGGGGGGGGCAAGCGUUGUCCGGAAUAAUUGGGCGUAAAGAGUUCGUAGGCGGCACGUAAAGUCGGGUGUUAAAGCGAGGGGCUCAACUUCUGUACGGCAGUGGAUACUGGCGAGCUAGAUUGCGGUAGAGGUAAAGGGAAUUCCUGGUGUAGCGGUGAAAUGCUUAGAUAUCGGGAGGAACAUCGGUGGCGUAAGCGGUUUACUGGGCCGUAAUUGACGCUGAGGAACGAAAGCGAGGGUAGCAAAUAGGAUUAGAUACCCGGGUAGUC